rnacentral:rRNA from 1 species
UCGAGAAUAAUUCGCAAUGGGCGAAAGCCUGACGAUGCGACGCCGCGUGAACGAUGAAGGCCUUCGGGUUGUAACGUUCUGUUGCCCUGGAACAAGAGUGAUCGUCGAAUAGGCGGUCACGAUGAGGGUACAGGAAGAGGAAGCACCGGCUAAUUCCGUGCCAGCAGCUGCGGUAAUACGGAAGGUGCAAGCGUUACUCGGAAUUACUGGGCGUAAAGCGUGCGUAGGUGGUUCGUUAAGUCUGAUGUGAAAGCCCUGGGCUCAACCUGGGAAUGGCAUUGGAUACUGGCGGACUGGAGUGCGGUAGAGGAUGGCGGAAUUCCCGGUGUAGCAGUGAAAUGCGUAGAGAUCGGGAGGAACAUCCGUGGCGAAGGCGGCCAUCUGGACCAGCACUGACACUGAGGCACGAAAGCGUGGGGAGCAAACA